rnacentral:rRNA from 1 species
UACGUAGGGUGCGAGCGUUAAUCGGAAUUACUGGGCGUAAAGCGUGCGCAGGCGGUUGUGUAAGACAGGUGUGAAAUCCCCGGGCUUAACCUGGGAAUUGCAUUUGUGACUGCACGGCUAGAGUUUGGCAGAGGGGGGGUAGAAUUCCACGUGUAGCAGUGAAAUGCGUAGAUAUGUGGAGGAAUACCGAUGGCGAAGGCAGCCCCCUGGGUCAAGACUGACGCUCAUGCACGAAAGCGUGGGGAGCAAACAGG